UCAUAUGGAUGAACAAAGAAAGUGGUUUCUUGAGAUGGAAUCUACUCCUAGUGAAGAUGCUAGAA
rnacentral:pre_miRNA from 1 species